rnacentral:pre_miRNA from 1 species
AUCACCUGGAGACCUUGUUAACGUGCGGAUUCUGAUUCAUUAACCUGAGAUGGAAUCGGAGAUUCUGCAUUUGUAACAAGCUCCAAGGUGAUGCUAG